GACGAACCGUGCGAACGUUAUUCGGAAUCACUGGGCUUAAAGGGCGCGUAGGCGGGCCGCCAAGUCAGGGGUGAAAGCCUCCGGCUCAACCGGAGAAGUGCCUUUGAUACUGGCGGCCUAGAGGGAGGUAGGGGCCUGCGGAACUUCCGGUGGAGCGGUGAAAUGCGUAGAUAUCGGAAGGAACGCCGGUGGCGAAAGCGGCGGGCUGGACCUCUACUGACGCUGAGGCGCGAAAGCCAGGGGAGCAAACGGG
rnacentral:rRNA from 1 species